rnacentral:rRNA from 1 species
AGAGAACGCUGGCGGUAGGCCUAACACAUGCAAGUCGAACGGCAGCACAGGAGAGCUUGCUCUCUGGGUGGCGAGUGGCGGACGGGUGAGGAAUACAUCGGAAUCUACUCUGUCGUGGGGGAUAACGUAGGGAAACUUACGCUAAUACCGCAUACGACCUACGGGUGAAAGCAGGGGAUCUUCGGACCUUGCGCGAUUGAAUGAGCCGAUGUCGGAUUAGCUAGUUGGCGGGGUAAAGGCCCACCAAGGCGACGAUCCGUAGCUGGUCUGAGAGGAUGAUCAGCCACACUGGAACUGAGACACGGUCCAGACUCCUACGGGAGGCAGCAGUGGGGAAUAUUGGACAAUGGGCGCAAGCCUGAUCCAGCCAUACCGCGUGGGUGAAGAAGGCCUUCGGGUUGUAAAGCCCUUUGUUGGGAAAGAAAUCCAGCUGGCUAAUACCCGGUUGGGAUGACGGUACCCAAAGAAUAAGCACCGGCUAACUUCGUGCCAGCCGCCGCCGUAA